rnacentral:rRNA from 1 species
UACGAAGGGUGCUAGCGUUGUUCGGAAUGACUGGGCGUAAAGGGUGCGUAGGCGGCCGAAUGCGUCUGAUGUGAAAUCCCUGGGCUUAACCUAGGAACUGCAUUGGAUACGGUUUGGCUAGAGACCGAUAGAGGAAGAUGGAAUUGUGCGUGUAGAGGUGAAAUUCGUAGAUAUGCACAAGAACACCGGUGGCGAAGGCGAUCUUCUGGAGCGGUACUGACGCUAAGGCACGAAAGCGUGGGGAGCAAACAGGAUUAGAUACCCUUGUAGU